rnacentral:lncRNA from 1 species
GUCAUGAAGUUCUGACUUCCGGUUUCAGGGUGUGUGGACUAGAGCGUCUCCUUUCCGCCAGGUUUCCGCCAGGUUUCCGCCAGGUUUCCGCCAGGUUUCCGCCAGGUUUCCGCCAGGUUUCCGCCAGGUCCUACAGCUUCGCUUUCCGGUUUGGAUUCUGUGGUGAAGAGGAGCCCUCGCAUCAGAGGAGCGUCGCCAGAGCAUGUACUGCCGAGGGCUGAGCCUGGCCUUGCGUUCUCCACCAAGUCCCUCUUCACGUAUCACUGCACCCGCGUUGGCCUUAACUUAGCCUCACUUUGGGACCCCUCCCCACAGGUUCCAAAGGCCUGUAGGCCUCAGGUGAAUUUCACCUUUAAAACUGAGAGUUUGGAGUUUCGGGCGUCAUGCAGAAACCAGACGCAGCAACCAGCCAGUAUUAGUGAAAAGAUAAAAUCAGCUCUGAAGAAAGGUGUGGGGCGUCGCCUUAUCCCUCUCUGCCGGCCUCUUCUGUGGAUGUAUUCUUCCUGCGGUUCCUUCACUGCUGGUGCUGGUCUGAAAAUCAAGAAACCAUCAAAUCCUGCUCUGCCUGCCCCACCGCCACCGGUACACCUACACUCCAACUCUGACUGUCCACCCAAAAUGAAGACUGCCCGCUGUGUCAUAAAACUCAGAUGGGACAGAUACGAAAGACUGCAGUCUGAGCCCUCUCCUAUCACCAGGCAAAUCCUGAGUCUGAAGUCACCUUAAAUUCGGCCACGGGGAUGAGAAGUAAGAGAUAAGAAGACCUACAGUAUCGGAAACAGCCAACAACUUUUGUCUGUUUAUACCAAAAUACUUCCCCACCUG